GUGAUUCUCCUGCCUCAGCCUCCCAAGUAGCUGGGAUUACAGAAAGAGAAGAUGACAGUCUGCAACUCAGAAGAAGGCCCUCACCAGAACUUGACCAUGCCGUCACCCUGAUCAUGAACUUCCAGCCUCCAAAACUGGCCUUUGUGAAGAAGUCUCACAGAUGGUAUGAAGAACUCUUGGACAGUGCAUGCAGGGCUACGGAUUGCAGGAAUGUCUUGGAGGCUUUGUGCACUCAGGAUGAGGCAUGAACCAUCAAUGAAGAAAGGGAUAAAGAAAACAAUAAUGGAACCCAAACUUGUAGCCUGUAUCCUAGAAUGCUCAUGAGCGAAGCUGUCAAAGAACCAUAACCCUGUAUUUAUGGAGCAUGAUGUUUAAUUGGAACUGAAUAAAUCAUAUAUUAAAUAGAUGUAUUGAAGAAAAAAUAGGACCAUAGAUACACAUGCACACAUACAUACAUGCCACAUGCAUUACACAUAAUUUAAUUUAAUACAUGCAUGCAUUGUUUGUUUUUAGAAUUGCUUUUCAAAACACAACAUAUUCUAGAGAAAGGGUCAGCAAAUUUUUUCUAAAAAGGAACAGAUAGUAUGUGUUUUCUGUUUUCUAGGCCACAUCCAAUCUCUGUGUCAACUACUCAUUUCUAUUGUUAUAGUACAAAAACAGUCCUAAACAAUAUGUAAAUGAAUGUGUGUAGCUGUGUUCCAAUAGCACUGCAUUUAUCAGCGCUGACAUUUGAAUGUCACAUAAUUUUAAUGUCAUAUUCUUCCUUUUAUUUUGUUCAACCAUUUAAAAAUGUAAAAGGUUUUCCUUGCUUGCAAGCUAUACAAAAACAAGUGAUGAGCUGUAUUUGGCUCAUGGGUGACCUCUGCUUUAAAGGGUCAAUAUCUAUGGGAUAAAAGGUUAUGAUGUCUAAAAUUAGAAAGUAUGUUAGAUUUGAGAAUAUCUCUUAAUACUUAGCAUAAUUGAGUCACUUUUAUGGACAUGACUGUUUGAAAGUGCUAAGAUAAUCACAAGUUAGUUCUGUACUCUCUGUGUUUCCUCUGCAGUUGUUACAUAGGAAAUUUCCUAUCCUCUGAAAGUUAUCAGCAAGUUUGACUGUGUUUUUUUGUAAAUUAUCUUGUACUGGAGAGCCACCAUCUCCAUUUGAAAUUUAAUAAUGUGUAAUGAAAGCAAUAACUAAAAAUGGGUAUCAAAUCUAAAUUACCAAAUGAAGCUAAAAACAAAGAAACUGAUAUACUGUUCUUACUGUAUACAUGUCAUCACACUCAAUCUUUCAUUUUUUUAUUUAAAAUUUUAUUUUAGGUUCAGGAGUACAUGUGCAGGUUUUUUAUACAGGUAAAUCUGUGUCACGGGGACUUGUACAGAUUAUUUCAUGACCCAGGUACUAAACCUAGUACCCAACAGUGAUUUUUUUUUCUGCUCCUUUCCC